UGUUAACAUAAUUAUGGCCUGACCGUAUUUCAUGUCUGCUAUUAUUUCUUUAACAUUCUUCUCUCGGUUUACCUGUAAAUAUCUUUAUUGCUGCUGCUGCUGUCCUUCCUUCCAGUUUCCUCCACUGACCGAUCUGCCUGAUGAAGGUGUGAUUUCACACAUUUCACAGAUUUAAAGAGCUCUGAAUGUGGAAUGCUUCUUCAGAUGGAGAUGCUGAGUAUCUACAAACGUCUCAGACUGAAAGGUAAAGAAUUUUGACCCUGUGUGCUUAGAAUAACUUGUGUCUGAUGUGGUCUUUACCUCGUUAAUGUUAGGUCUGCCUCUGCCACGCCUACCUCCAGGGGUUAAUUGUCUUGUCCCCAGUCCUUGCGUGUAUGUGUGUGUGUGUGUGUGUGUGUGUGUGUGUGUGUUUCAGGCGUGCUGGAGACAGAGCAGAGCAGGAACCACUAGCUGCACCCAAUCCUGUAAUCAUCCGGCUACCUACUUAUACUCAGCCCUGCCACUACCACGCUGCCAGAUUGUAGACACUAUCUAUCGUUACCUGCUCUGCUCAGCUCUCCAGCCCUUGACUACCUGACCUGCUGCCCUCGCCUGCUCCACCCAGCCCUGCUCCGGAUCCAGCCCCCUGGGAUACUCAGCCUGUGUCCUCCCUGUCUGGCCCCUGACAAAACCCUGCCUUAAGAACAAUAAACUGGCUUAACAUCGUC